UCCUAGCUUUCUUUCCACCUUUUUCUGCCCUCUGAGAACUUACCUAUAAUUUCUUAUUUUUUGUCUUUGGGAUUAUUUUCUAGCAAGAGUGUUGUAUGAAAAUUAACACAUGUAUAUAAAAUGAAGGUGUCAGGACUGCCAUAGACUAUAGGAGACGGAGGAGACCCAACAGUUGGAGGCAAAUGGUUCCAGAGCAGAAGUACAUUAAGAAGAAACAUGGACCCGCUGUGCUGGAGCGAUGGAGCAGGUUUCCCUCCGAAGAGCUGUGUGUCAAACCUCCCGCCAGGAGGCCUCCCUGCACUCCAGCCACUGCCACCACCAACCUAAGCCACCUGCCUGAGCAAGCCAAAGACUCUCGUCCAGGUGGUAACCCACCAGAGCUCUCUUCUCCUACCCUCUGCCCAUGGGUCCCCACCCACAGCAGCAUCUGGGAUGUCCGAGAGGAGAACCUGACGUCCCUGGCCUC